GGGAACUGAAACAUCUAAGUACCCAGAGGAAAGGAAAGCAACAUGCGACUCCGUAAGUAGCGGCGAGCGAAAGCGGAUAGAUGUGAACCUACGAACACGAAGGAAUGCGUGACCAAAGACGGUGAAAGUCCGGUAGUAGGGUGUAGCAUCAUAGCCCUCGAUUAGGCUCGGGCUCGUGGAACCCGGGUUGAACAUGGGAGGUCCACCUUCCAAGGCUAAGUACUCCUUGACGACCGAUAGCGAAGAAGUAAAGUGAUUGAAAGUUGAAAAGCACCCCUAUUAGGGGGAUGAAAGAGUCCCUGAAACCGUAUGCCUACAAGCGGUCGGAGCCCUCCGGGGUGACGGCGUGCUUUUUGCAUAAUGAGCCCGCGAGUUAGUCUCAGUGGCGAGCUUAAGGCCUAACGGGCCGGAGGCGGAGCGAAAGCGAGUCUGAAUAGGGCGCAUGAGUUAGAUGGAUCAGACCCGAAACCGAGUGAUCUAGGCAUGGCCAGGUUGAAGGUUGGGUAACACCAACUGGAGGACCGAACCCACAUCCGUUGAAAAGGAUCGGGAUGAGCUGUGCCUAGGGGUGAAAGGCCAAUCAAACUCGGAGAUAGCUGGUUCUCUGCGAAAUCUAUUUAGGUAGAGCGUCAUCCGAAUACCCCCGGGGGUAGAGCACUGGAUGGGUAAUGGGGCCCCACAGGCUUACUGAUCCUAACCAAACUCCGAAUACCCGAGAGUAAUAUACGGCAGACACACUGCGGGUGCUAACGCCCGUAGUGAAAAGGGAAACAACCCUGACCUCCAGCUAAGGCCCCUAAUUCAUGGCUAAGUGGGAAAGCAGGUGGGACGACCAAAACAACCAGGAGGUUGGCUUAGAAGCAGCCAUCCUUUAAAGAUAGCGUAACAGCUCACUGGUCUAAAUAAGUUGUCCUGCGGCGAAGAUGUAACGGGGCUCAAGCCAUGAGCCGAAGCUGAGGAUGCACAUAGUGCAUGGUAGCGGAGCGUAGUG
rnacentral:rRNA from 1 species